rnacentral:sRNA from 1 species
CCUCUUCGAUCUGUUGCGGACAAAUGAAGUGAAUGUGCGAAUCGAUGCCGCCGGCCGUGACGAUCAUGCCCUCGCCGGCGAUCACUUCGGUGGCGCCGCCCAGCGGAAUCGUCACGCCGGGCUGGAUGUCCGGAUUGCCCGCCUUGCCGAUGCCCCAGAUGCGCCCGUCCUUGAGGCCGAUGUCGGCCUUCACGAUGCCCCAGUGAUCGAUGAUCACGGCGUUGGUGAUGACGGUGUCCACCACGUCGGCGCGGGGACGUUGCGAUUGCCCCAUGCCGUCGCGAAU